AGCUGAUCACUGGGUGUAAAGGGUGCGCAGGCGGUUUUGUAAGACAGAGGUGAAAUCCCCGGGCUCAACCUGGGAACUGCCUUUGUGACUGCAAGGCUGGAGUACGGCAGAGGGGGAUGGAAUUCCGCGUGUAGCAGUGAAAUGCGUAGAUAUGCGGAGGAACACCGAUGGCGAAGGCAAUCCCCUGGGCCUGCACUGACGCUCAUGCACGAAAGCGUGGGGAGCAAACA
rnacentral:rRNA from 1 species